GCUGCUGCUGGCAGAAGCAAACUCUGUGCAGGCCCCUGGCAGCUCCGGAUGGGGGUGCCUGUGACCUCCUUGGCCCCAGAGGGCGUAUUACAGUGGUCUUUUAGCUCUGCCAUUCGUGGUUGGCUUGUGUUAACAGUUCAGUGAGCCCUUUGCCUUGUCGCAUGGGGCGGCUGCCCUCCGCCAGCGAGGAAAAAGGGCUAGUGUGACAGCCUUUUGUAUCUGCACUUGUGGUUCCAAAGUUCUCGUCUGCAGGAAAAAUGAGGUCGCAAGAACGAACUGAAGAAUGGUAAAUGUGGGGAUUUUAUUGCCAAUGAAAGCAGCUUUCAGCGGGAAGGGGAGCUGAAAAAAGGAUGAGACUGCUGUUAUUUUGUAUCCUGUUGUGAUAACAGAACGCACUUUGGUCAUAGCGGGAAUAAAGCUUCAGGAGACAUAUCUACUGAAAAAAAAAGAUGGAAAGAAUAAAAGAAAAAAGGAUCUGGGCUAACAACCAGCGUUCAUGAGGUUUUAUGAAAGAGUUAAUUACCUGUGUUGAUGCAAGACAUAGCAACAUGUGAUAUAGACCCAAGGCAGCAGAAAGAACUGGCAGAAAAAAAGGCAAGGAAGAGAAGAUCUCAUGUAUGAGCUCAGAUACAGUCCCAAGGGGAAAUUGGAGAGGACAGCAUAAUCUGGACCAGAAUAAAGCUGUCUAACCGUACCAAGUGAAGCUUGAAUAAGGAGGCUACAUGUCUGGUGUUAAUCUUAUGCUCAACGGUAAGUGUAAUCAUUUGGCACACUGUGUAGGGGCCAUAGGCUCUUCCAAAACCUCACUCUAGGCUAGGGAGUUUCCAUCAGAUAUCUCAUUCUCUUUGAGCCCAGAGUGGCCAAUCAUGCAAGCAGUCAGUGUAGGCAAAAAGUGACAGACAGACAUUCACAAGAUUACAGUGAAAGUUCCGGCUAAAUACUACGUUAAGGGAUAGUUAUCAAUCCCUAGUUUUAAUGCUGUUAGACACAUUUGAAGCAGGGGAAGUAUUUCACAGCCAAAAGUAUAACUUUCUUCUUACAAAUCCCAGUUUUAUUCUGUUGAGCAGAGAUCAAAGGAAAAACAUUUGAAUUUUUCCACCUACAUUUCUGGUCAAGCACUAUCAGCUUUUAUAACUGGAUUUGACAACCACUCUAAAAAUAAGCAAAAUAAAAAUAAAUAAACUUUGAGAACUUAGUUGGAUAUAUUCUCAGAGGGAAUUCUGUAACCACCUCAAAUCUGGCUGUUUGCCACUCUGAGAUUGAAAACAAAAGAGGUUAGGUGUGGUGAAAGAAAAGUUUUAUUAAGUGAAGGCUAGAAGUCGGGAAAUGGCCAGGUUUCUGCCCUUAAAAACCAUUUCCAAUUUUUGGGCAGAGCUAAGGGAUUUAAGAAGGAAACAGGUAGGAGUGAUCCGGGAGGGUGUAGGUCUGCAUGUCCUAUUCUUAUGAAUAAUCUUAUGCAUGUCUUCUUAUUUGAAUGAUCUCUCAUCUGAAGGUUUGGUUGGAAUCACCUUGACUUUGGCCAGAUUGUGCUGGACUAAUUGUUUGUGACUCCUCCUAAGUGGGAGGAUCCUGCAGCUGGCUCUCUGUCCUGGUUUGUUUCUAAAUUGGCCCCUGGAAUUUCUAAGCAAGCACAUAAUUAAAUAAGUGAGCACUUUGCAUAGGAGUUCUCGGCCAGAAAGAAAGGGAAGCAAACAGUUCUAAAGUAUACAAGGCUAAAUUCUGAGAUUAAGAAGGAAAGGAAAAAAAAGUUUCAAAAUGCAUUUUGAAGCUAAGCUACUCAGUUACAAUUCCAGUAAGUAGAGAAGGAAUGAGAAGGAAUGGUGCCUCUGAUGAAUGGUGCUCCAGGUCAAGAACAUCCUCCAUAAUAAAGCUGUCUGUUGAAGUGAGGGAACUGAAAGCAUCCACAGGCCAAUCACAGACCCCAUCAAAUUGGCGGUCACUUGAGAAACACCUAAGCACUCAAGAUUGCUUAUUUUCACAGCUUUGAAGGUGACUCAGCUCCUCAUAUAUAAUAAGCCUAAACAACUAGGCCCUCUUGUGACCAGUCUGUGUGGGUUGAUGGAGUGUCAGAGUGUCAGAGACACUCCAUAACAAAGAGCUGAAAGGAAGUCACCACACACAGGCUUAAGGAGUAUAGAAAAUGCUUUCCAACAUCUGGGAAUCCUAUAAUUGGAGCUGGAAAAACAGAAACUUUGCGAUGACCAGGCUGGGAUAUAAUUUCCACAAAUUGGAAGUUUUUUGGAAGCAGCGGUUCAGAAGAAGGUAAAGAGGCCAUGCCAUAGAUGAUAUUAAUCAUGACAAGUGGCCUUUGUCACAAGAGAAUAAAGGACUGGACAACUAUCUACAUGUGUGUGUCUGAAGUCAUAUAAACCUUAUAUGCGUCAUUCCUAAAUACCUUUGUAUUCAUUUCUACAAAAGAUAUUUAUUGGGAAGUUAUGAUAAACCUGGUUAAAGUACUGAAAACUAUGAGACACAUAAAGUAAUCAAGGUCAAUUUCAGAAGAAAUAAAACCUCCUUUUUCUAAUGUUUCACUGAGAAUCUUAACCUCUGACUUAAAUUGCUCUUGAAAGAGGAUCAUGAAUAAAAUUUAAACUUGACUGGAACAAAAUGUAGGCUGUGAAUUGUGUAUUUUGGCAGAGAAAAUCACCUUUACCCCAAAGAAUAUUUGCACCCUCCCAAAAGUUAUUAUUAACUGGAAAACUUAAACAUGAUAUGAAUCAUUUUUUCAAUUAAAAAAUAAAAACCUACUGAAUUUUUCUUAUCCUGCUUCUCUCUGAUUCUGAACAUAUUUUUCCUAAAAAACAUGUAAUGGAGUACCUAGUAUAU